rnacentral:sRNA from 1 species
CGGCUUGCCAGGAGCUGGAGCGGGAGGUAGGCGGGGCGGCGCGUGACCUAAGGCCUCUCUGCCGCGCGCGCAGGUACGGGGCCGAAGUCGCAGAGCCAAGGCACUGAUGUUUGAACUGGAAACUUCAAAACUUUUAAUAAGAGUCUUCAGGAUGGGUUUGAACUAGACAAGCUAGAAAUUUCUUUAGAACACCAGCUCUAGCAUACAUCUCCCACUUUUGGCUUUCCUGGACAGGAGCUUGAAGAGGUGGUUCUGCAGACAGCCACAGUGAUACUCAGGAAACCAGAGGAAUGGAUUUGACUUUUCUACUAGGAUUCUCUGUUAUAGUUUCUCCCUGAGUUGUAAGAGGCAUGGAAAUAUACAUGAAACUGAAGAACCUGCAAGGAAGGGAAGUGGAACUUUCCAUGCUGAGUGAAAACUAACCAAGUGGCGGUUGUGACUGAAAACACUGAAACCCACCACGUCCAGAUUCACUGGAUUGGGGGAUAGAGGAACGGUCACAGCUAGGGAGAAAGCAGUGAUACCGGAAAAGAAAAGCUAAAUGAAGAGAAUGAGGAUGACUGCACAGUAGAUGGCCACCUCUACCUCCACAGAGACAAAGUCAGCCUCGUGGUGGAAUUAUUUUUUUCUUUAUGAUGGUUCCAAGGUAAAGGAAGAAGGCGAUCCAACAAGAGCUGGCAUUUGUUACUUUUAUCCUUCCCAGACCCUGCUAGACCAACAGGAGUUGCUUUGUGGACAGAUUGCUGGAGUUGUCCGCUGUGUUUCUGACAUUUCUGACUCUCCUCCUACUCUUGUUCGUCUGAGAAAACUGAAGUUUGCUAUAAAAGUUGAUGGAGAUUACCUUUGGGUGCUGGGCUGUGCUGUGGAGCUCCCUGAUGUCAGCUGCAAGCGGUUUCUGGAUCAGCUAAUUGGAUUCUUUAAUUUUUACAAUGGACCUGUUUCCCUAGCUUAUGAGAACUGUUCUCAGGAAGAACUGAGCACGGAGUGGGACACCUUCAUCGAGCAAAUUCUGAAAAACACCAGUGAUCUGCAUAAGAUUUUCAAUUCCCUCUGGAACUUGGACCAAACUAAAGUGGAGCCCCUGUUGUUGCUGAAGGCAGCCCGCAUUCUGCAGACCUGCCAGCGCUCGCCUCACAUUCUCGCUGGCUGCAUCCUCUAUAAAGGACUGAUUGUCAGCACCCAACUCCCGCCAUCCCUCACCGCCAAGGUCCUGCUUCACCGAACAGCACGUCAGGAGCAGGUAUUGUAAAGUCCACCCACCUGGCUGGACAGCAUCCCCCAGAGCACCGGUCACCGAGCCUGAGGCUGGAGGGAUCAGGAGCAGAGGCCGUGGAGCAGUUGUUUCACUUGGUCUUGUCAGGACCCCAAGUCCUCCAAUGUCAUUCUCCUCAGUAGUGAAGCCAUUGGCGAGGCUGAAAGAAAAUGUUUUCUUCCACGAGCUAGGCCUGAAUAGUUGUUUUUUCUUCAAACCAAGGAAAUCUUGGUUGAAUUCGACUUCCCAUAAGAAUUUGAUGUCUCUUUAUGUCAAAGAGAUGUUAGACUUUUCAGAGACAGACUGUAAAGGAUGUGUCUUUAGAAAGAUUUAGGGGGUUGGUCACGGUGGUUCACACCUGUAAUCCCAGCACUUUGGGUGGCUGAGGUGGGCAGAUCACUUGAGGUCAGGAGUUCAAGACCAGCCUGGCCAACAUGAUGAAACCCAUCUCUAUUUAAAAUACAAAAAUUAGCUGGGUGUGGUGGUGCACACCUGUAAAUCCCAGCUACUUGGGAGGCUGAGGCAGGAGAAUCGCUUGAACCUGGCAGGCAGAGGGUGAGGUGAGCUGAGAUCGCGCCACUGCACUCCAGCCUGGGUAGCAAGAGUGAGACUCUGUCUCAAAAAAUAAAAAUAAAAAAAUAAGGAAAACAAACUCUUCUAAAAUACUUCCAUUUUAUAUUUAUUUAAUUGUUUUUAUAUUGAAAAAAAAGUCAUGCAUGCUCAUUGAGAAUAAAAUUGCCCAUCUUUGAACUGUACAGGGAUAACCACUGCCAGCAUCUGGCAUAUCUCCUUCCAGUCCUUUUUUUGUUUUGUGUAUGAAGCUGUGGUUUCCAGUGUAUCAUGAGGCUCUCUUUUUACAUGUAUUAGUUGAACAGGCAUGUAAAAUGCUGGUUGGGCUCUAUUCAGCCUCCUCAGCCACUGUGGCUAUGGGUGUCAAUUCGAGUAGCCUUUCUGGGAAACACUUUGAUAAUGAGAACGUUAAGGAUGCCCUUUAUUUUCUUCCUAAUAAUUUGACUUCUAGGAAUAUAUCUUAAGGAAAUAAUGUAACUGCUGAAAAAAAUUUAUACUCAAAACUUGAUCACAACAAGCUUUAUGAAAGUGGAAAAUCAGACAAAACUUGAAUGCUUAAGGUAGGAGGUGGCAAAUUAUGGCCUGUGGGCCACCUGCCUACAAAUGAAGUUUUAUUUGGCUGCUUUUGAGCUAUAAUAGCAGAGCCAAGUAGGUGGGACAGAGACCAUAUGCCCUGCAAAGCCAAAAAUAUUUACUGUCUUGUCUUUUGCACAGAAAGUUUACUAAUUACUGGUCUAAGGUAGGUAAAUGAUUAAUUUACUCAUAUCACUUAAACCUUCAUAAAAUUUUAAUCAGCCGUUUAAAAUGGCCAAAGAUGUUUUAGUGGCAGGAAUUGCAUGUUACUGUUUUAAGCAGAAAUAUGAAAUUUUAUAUAGUGUGGCCUCAAAAGUAUAAAAAAUGCAUAGGCUUAAGGAAAAAAUACCCAAUAUUAAUAGUACUAGCUUGGGGAUGAGGGAUUGUAUGUGAUUUUUUUUUCAACGCUCUGUCUAGAGUAAAUUGAGGUUAGGCUUAGUAAUCUAAAACAUGGUUUUUUAAAAAAUCACCAAAAAAGGAAGAACACCAUAUCAUUCUAAGAUUGAAAGUCAUUUUGGCUAGAAGAGCAGUUCUUGUUUGGUUUGGUUUUGUUUUGGUGGGUUCUUUUGGAACCCUCAGAUUGAGACGAGAGAUGUUUUCAUUUUUGAGAAAAUCAUCAGGUUUUAGGCCCUGAUUGUGAACCAGAACAAAUGAGAGAUCGGGUAUAGCAUUUUGUUUAAGUCAAAUCCUUUAUCGUGAGAGUCACAGUACUUCGACAUUUUUAUUAUAAUGGAAUUUAUGUGAAUUCUACAUCAGGGCUGUGGCAGAUGUGACUGUAUUCUAGAAUAUGAGUUCCCCAAAGGUGUAAAAGAGAACAGGAAUCCUCAAUUUUAUUCCCAGAAGGGAGAGAGACUGAGAAAAUCAGAAUGUAGAGUGUGAUGUGAGUUUGGGUGGAGCUGCUGCCUUGCAGCCUGUGUGGGCCCAGGUUCUUGCUUCAUCCCAGCCAUAGUGGGAGCCAGCAGCUUGGGGGAGCUUCUGUUCCAUCUGCUUGGCUUUUAGCAUGUGGUUGGGACAAGCUUUCUGGGCCUGGCUAAGUUUUAUGAACAGAUGGCACAGCAAAUUCCUGAUGGUUAGGUCAAGAGGAGAAUGUGGUGCCCAGCGCCAACUUCUGUGUGUGUUUGUUUUCAGAGACUCCCUACGGGAGGGGAUGCCCCGCAGGAACAUGGAGCGGCAUUGCCCCUGAAUGUCCAGAUUAUCCCUGUUUUUGUGACCAAAGAGGAAGCCAUUAGUCUCCACGAGUUCCCGGUGGAACAGAUGACAAGGUCUCUAGCAUCUCCAGCAGGACUCCAGGAUGGUUCAGCCCAGCACCAUCCAAAGGGUGGGACCACAUCUGCCCUGAAAGAAAACGCCACUGGCCAUGUGGAAUCCAUGGCCUGGACCACCCCAGAUCCCACAUCCCCUGACAAAGCUUGUCCAGAUGGCAGGAAGGAGAACGGAUGCUUGUCUGGCCGUGAUCUGGAGAGCAUCAGGCCCGCAGGACUGCACAACUCUGCCAGGGGUGAGGUUCUUGGCCUCAGCUCCUCCCUGGGGAAGGAACUAGUCUUUCUCCAAGAAGAACUCGACUUGUCUGAAAUCCACAUUCCAGAGGCUCAGGAAGUGGAAACGGCCUCAGGUCAUUUUGCCUUCCUACAUGUGCCUGUUCCAGAUGGCAGGGCUCCUUACUGCAAGGCAUCUCUCAGCGCCUCCAGCAGCCUGGAACCCACGCCUCCUGAGGACACAGCCGUCAGCAGCCUGCGCCCUCCCUCUGCUCCUGAGAUGCUGACCCAGCAUGGAGCCCAAGAGCAGCUCGAAGACCAUCCUGGCCAUAGCAGCCAAGCCACCAUUCCCAGAGCAGACCCUCUCCCCAGAAGGACCCGCAGGCCCUUGUUAUUGCCUCGCUUAGAUCCAGGGCAGAGAGGAAACAAGCUUCCCACGGGGGAACAAGGCCUGGAUGAGGAUGUUGAUGGGGUCUGUGAAAGCCACGCAGCCCCUGGUCUGGAAUGCAGUUCAGGCUCAGCAAACUGUCAGGGUGCUGGCCCCUCUGCAGAUGGAAUCAGCUCCAGGCUGACACCAGCAGAGUCCUGCAUGGGGCUCGUGAGGAUGAAUCUCUACACUCACUGCGUCAAAGGGCUGGUGCUGUCCCUGCUGGCUGAGGAGCCGCUACUGGGAGACAGCGCAGCCAUAGAGGAAGUGUACCACAGCAGCCUGGCUUCGCUGAAUGGGCUGGAAGUCCACCUGAAAGAGACGCUGCCCAGGGAUGAGGCAGCCUCCACGAGCAGCACCUACAACUUCACACAUUAUGACCGCAUUCAGAGCUUGCUGAUGGCAAACCUGCCGCAGGUGGCCACCCCGCAGGAUCGCCGCUUCCUCCAGGCCGUCAGCCUGAUGCAUAGCGAAUUUGCCCAGCUGCCCGCGCUUUAUGAAAUGACUGUCAGAAAUGCCUCCACGGCUGUGUAUGCCUGUUGCAACCCCAUCCAGGAGACAUAUUUCCAGCAGCUGGCACCUGCAGCACGGAGCUCUGGCUUCCCAAACCCUCAGGAUGGCGCCUUCAGCCUCUCCGGCAAAGCGAAGCAGAAGCUGCUGAAGCACGGGGUGAACUUGCUCUGAACUGCACCCAGGAGGUGACUGGGAAGGAGAAAACCAGCAAAGGAAGCUCUGCCUUUUAUAAUUGAAAAGGCCCCUCUAUUUUAUUUUUCUUGAAAACAUUCCCUUUUUUAGGAACAUAAUGAUAUUUGAGUUUUUGUUAUUCCUUUUGCAGAUUGGGAUGUGUUUUGGGGGCAGGGGUUAGUUCUUCAGGUCGGCAGACCCAGAGCACUUGAUAAAGAACUGUAUUUAAUCGGUGGUGUUGGGGCCGGGACGGGCUUGGCUCCCUCUCUGCCAUACUGAGCCUGAGGUAUUUCAUAUCUCCUGCUGCUGUUCCAUCCCAGCUUGAAUUGGUGCCACAAGCUUCCAAGUUGGCAUUUUUUCUAGAACCUGAUCGUCCACUAGCCCAGAGUGUGUGUGUUCAACCCCCACACCAGGUGGUGGUAGGCGGUGUGACUGCACAGCGAGGUGCCGGAUCUGUGAGCAGGCGGACUCCACGCCCACGCCGCAGGUAGGUUUCUCCAGUGCGCUCUUGCUGGGAGGUCCGGAUCGUUCCUGCAGGGAAGCGGCAGCACACGGAGACCACUUGGUUGAAUUCUGUUGGAACUCUACUCAAAUCUAGGGGCGUCUUCUUUGGACCCACAAUGGGGGCAAGCCUUAAUAAUAUGGAAGGGAGUUUGGGCUUUAGAGAUCCCUUUAUAAAAGCCCUGGGGGCUGAGCCCUGAGAAUUCAGUGACAACAGGACCAACCUGCGCUGCCUUUGACUACAAGUGGGCCGUGCAGCUGGUUCCUCUCGAGCGAGUGUCCCUAAAUAGGAGUUUACAAGAUGUCUGGGGGUAAAAGCAACUGUGCUUUUCAGUGGUGGCUGCGUGAAAGGGAAUGACAUUCAGUUGUGUGUUCCUGGGCUUGUGUGGUACUUAAAACCUCAGUUCUAUUACAUUAUAGUCAGACUUUUUUUUGACAGUAUGAGACAGAUUGCAGGAUGAAAAUAUUUGUCAAAAUCUUAACUGAAUGUUUACUGGAAGUACUUGAGAUUCCAUUUGAGAGUUGUAUUGUUAAUAAUUUCAUGUCAGUGAACUGAUAUCUGAUGUUUAUGAUAUGGUGUCUUUUUCUUGAAACAAGCUUCCAAGGGCUAGAAAUAAAAUAGCCAAAAAAUGCUAGAGUUCUGAGUAAUUAAA